CCUACGGGUGGCAGCAGUGAGGAAUAUUGGUCAAUGGACGAGAGUCUGAACCAGCCAAGUAGCGUGAAGGAUGACUGCCCUAUGGGUUGUAAACUUCUUUUAUAUGGGAAUAAAACGUUCCACGUGUGGGAUUUUGUAUGUACCAUAUGAAUAAGGAUCGGCUAACUCCGUGCCAGCAGCCGCGGUAAUACGGAGGAUCCGAGCGUUAUCCGGAUUUAUUGGGUUUAAAGGGAGCGUAGGUGGAUUGUUAAGUCAGUUGUGAAAGUUUGCGGCUCAACCGUAAAAUUGCAGUUGAAACUGGCAGUCUUGAGUACAGUAGAGGUGGGCGGAAUUCGUGGUGUAGCGGUGAAAUGCUGAGAUAUCACGAAGAACUCCGAGUGCGAAGGCAGUUCACUGGACUGCAACUGACACUGAGGCUCGAAAGUGUGGGUAUCAAACAGGAUUAGAUACCCUGGUAGUC
rnacentral:rRNA from 1 species